rnacentral:rRNA from 1 species
AUUGAACGCUGGCGGCAUGCUUUACACAUGCAAGUCGAACGGGCUUGGGGGCUUGCUCCCAAGUUAGUGGCGAACGGGUGAGUAAUACAUCGGAACGUACCGUGUAGUGGGGGAUAACUUAGCGAAAGUUAGGCUAAUACCGCAUACGAUCUACGGAUGAAAGUGGGGGACCUUCGGGCCUCACGCUAUACGAGCGGCCGAUGUCUGAUUAGCUAGUUGGUGAGGUAAAGGCUCACCAAGGCGACGAUCAGUAGCGGGUCUGAGAGGAUGAUCCGCCACACUGGGACUGAGACACGGCCCAGACUCCUACGGGAGGCAGCAGUGGGGAAUUUUGGACAAUGGGCGAAAGCUUGAUCCAGCCAUGCCGCGUGUCUGAAGAAGGCC